CCAAUGCCUCGGAUGGACGAGCUGCUUGACCGCAUAUCUAAGGGAAAGUACUUGACCACGAUAUGCCUCUGCAAGGGAUAUUGGCAGAUUCCCUUGGCAGAGGACGCGGUCCCCAAGUCAGCCUUCAUUACCACGUUCGGACUAUACCAGUUUCAGGUUAUGCCGUUCGGGAUGACGAACGCUCCUGCCACCUUCCAACGGAUGGUGGACCGACUAUUAG